rnacentral:tRNA from 1 species
GCCCAGGUGGCGGAAUCGGCAGACGCGGCGUCUUGAGGGGGCGUUGCCCGAAAGGGCGUGCGGGUUCGACUCCCGCCCUGGGCA